AUCUGGAACUGACGAAGGCUCCUCCUGGCCGACACGCUGCCCCCGACACAGCUUGCCGUGGGGAGAGAGUUGGACUGGCCGAAUCCACGGCUGCUGCAGGACGAGACAAGAAGAGGGUUUUCCUAGGAAUGGACCGGAACAGCCUCUGGACCUGUUGUUUCCAUGACAACAGCCUCUUCUUCUGUGUCUCAGUGAAGGACUGAUGGAGGGGGGGAAACAAGGAGUUUAUAUCAGAGAGCCCUGCAUGGUCAGGCACCUGUGUACAUCUGUGACCUGCUCUAUCCUUAUAUUCCUUUGAAGUUGUGGCUCUGACACCGUGGAACGCUCUUCCUAUAGAUGUACAAUCUGCGGUCUCUGUUGACGCCUUUGAAAGCAGCUGAAGACUUUGUCUCGCCUUGUGCUGUCUAGUGUUUGUAAUUUUGUGUUUUUAAGGUCUUUUGUUGCUUAUGUUUUAUUGUUUGUUUCUUUUUUACUGUU